ACGAGUGGCGGACGGGUGAGUAAUGUCUGGGAAACUGCCUGAUGGAGGGGGAUAACUACUGGAAACGGUAGCUAAUACCGCAUAAUGUCGCAAGACCAAAGAGGGGGACCUUCGGGCCUCUUGCCAUCGGAUGUGCCCAGAUGGGAUUAGCUAGUAGGUGGGGUAACGGCCCACCAAGGCGACGAUCCAUAGCCGGCCUGAGAGGGUGAACGGCCACAUUGGGACUGAGACACGGCCCAGACUCCUACGGGAGGCAGCAUG
rnacentral:rRNA from 1 species